rnacentral:rRNA from 1 species
GACGAACGCUGGCGGCGUGCUUAACACAUGCCAGUCGAACGGAAAGGCCUGCUUUCCCUUGUGGAUUGCGGGUACUCGGGUGGCGAACGGGUGAGUAACACGUGAGUGAUCUGCCCCCAACUUGGGUAUAAGCCUGGGAAACUGGGUCUAAUUCCCGAUAGGACUGCAGGGUGGUGCCUGUGGUGGAAAACGAUUUUCUAGUGGUUGGGGAUGAGCUCGCGGCCUAUCAGCUUGUUGGUGGGGUAAUGGCCUACCAAGGCGGCGACGGGUAGCCGGCCUGAGAGGGUGGACGGCCACAUUGGGACUGAGAUACGGCCCAGACUCCUACGGGAGGCAGCAGUGGGGAAUAUUGCACAAUGGGCGGAAGCCUGAUGCAGCGACGCCGCGUGGGGGAUGACGGCCUUCGGGUUGUAAACUCCUUUCGACCGCGAGGAAGCCACCUGGUUGGAAGGGUGGUGACGGUAGUGGUAGAAGAAGCACCGGCUAACUACGUG